UGGGGAAUAUUGGACAAUGGGCGAAAGCCUGAUCCAGCCAUGCCGCGUGUGUGAAGAAGGUCUUCGGAUUGUAAAGCACUUUAAGUUGGGAGGAAGGGCAGUAAGCGAAUACCUUGCUGUUUUGACGUUACCGACAGAAGAAGCACCGGCUAACUCUGUGCCAGCAGCCGCGGUAAUACAGAGGGUGCAAGCGUUAAUCGGAAUUACUGGGCGUAAAGCGCGCGUAGGUGGUUCGUUAAGUUGAAUGUGAAAGCCCCGGGCUCAACCUGGGAACUGCAUCCAAAACUGGCGAGAUAGAGUAGGGCAGAGGGUGGUGGAAUUUCCUGUGUAGCGGUGAAAUGCGUAGAUAUAGGAAGGAACACCAGUGGCGAAGGCGACCACCUGGGCUCAUACUGACACUGAGGUGCGAAAGCGUGGGGAGCAAACAGG
rnacentral:rRNA from 1 species